UACGUAGGGGGCAAGCGUUGUUCGGAUUCAUUGGGCGUAAAGGGUGCGUAGGCGGCGCGGUAAGUCGGGUGUGAAAUCUCGGAGCUUAACUCCGAAACUGCAUUCGAUACUGCCGUGCUUGAGGACUGGAGAGGAGACUGGAAUUUACGGUGUAGCGGUGAAAUGCGUAGAUAUCGUAAGGAAGACCAGUGGCGAAAGGCGGGGUCUCUGGACAGUUCCUGACGCUGAGGCACGAAGGCCAGGGGAGCAAACGGG
rnacentral:rRNA from 1 species